rnacentral:rRNA from 1 species
AUUGAACGCUGGCGGCAGGCCUAACACAUGCAAGUCGAGCGAGUGGCGGAAGGGUGAGUAAGGUCUGGGAAACUGCCUGAUGGAGGGGGAUAACUACUGGAAACGGUUGCUAAUACCGCAUACCAUCGGAUGUGCCCCGAUGGGAUUAGCUAGUUGGUGGGGUAACGGCUCACCAAGGCGACGAUCACUAGCUGGUCUGAGAGGAUGAACAGCCACACUGGAACGGAGACACGGUCCAGACUCCUACGGGAGGCAGCAGUGGGGAAUAUUGCACAAUGGGCGAAAGCCUGAUGCAGCCAUGCCGCGUGUAUGAAGAAGGCCUUCGGGUUGUAAAGUACUUUCAGCGGGGAGGCGUUACCCGCAGAAGAAGCACCGGCUAACUCCGUGCCAGCCGCCGCGGUAAUAC